rnacentral:rRNA from 1 species
AUGAUACAAAGGUGGCAGCCUGUAGAGAAUUCCAAACCUCAGAGUGAUGGAAUAACGGGAACUUACAGAGUUGAUGUUGACAUUCCUGCUGAUGAUUGGGCAAAUAUCACCGAGUUCUACGACGUGCUCAUUUUCAACACUGGACACUGGUGGGGUCCGGAUAAAUUCCCAAAAGAGACUCCCCUUGUUUUCUACCGAGGAGGAAAACCAAUCGAGCCUCCACUCAGCAUCUUUGAUGGACUGAAGGUAGUCCUCAAAAGUAUGAGCUCGUACAUCGAAAGGGAGGUCCCAAGUACAACAAUGAAGCUGUGGCGCACACAAUCACCCAGGCACUUUGAGGGAGGCGAAUGGGAUCACAACGGCAGUUGCUUGUCUAAGAGGCUCCUCGAAGAACACGAGCUGGAUUCUUGGUUCGAUCCCAGGUUUGGGGGAGUCAACAAGGAAGCGAGAUUAGUAAAUUCAGUGAUCGGGGAAGCUCUAGUCGGCACGGAUAUCCAGCUGCUCAACCUGACCUACAUGAGCGAGUUCCGCGCCGACGCCCAUCCAGCUAUCUGGCUCGGGAAGAAGGACGCGGUGGCCGUCUGGGGGCAGGACUGCAUGCACUGGUGCCUGCCAGGCGUACCGGACGCGUGGGUCGACAUCUUGACCGCACGCAUCUUGCACUACUUCAAGCAGGGCAAUGGUUGA